UAAUCUCUAAACUAACAACAGAUUUCAAACAAGCCAAACACCUACUCACCCUUCCCCCACCAAUAAAAAUGGAACACCAGGAAGAAAAAUAAUAAUACUAAUAAAAAAGUCUCCGCUCCAUUCCUUUUAAAUUUUCUUUUUUUGUGAGAAUUUUUUUGUUUCUUUUUAUCUCAUUCGUUAAGUUUAAAAAAAACAACAACAUAAUUUACUUAGUUUCCCAAAUUAC
rnacentral:lncRNA from 1 species